UUGUAUUUUGUUCAACCCUCGAAAAGUAUUAUUUAUUGUAACUGGUGAAUUAUUGAAAACAGAUUUACAGAAAAUUGCUUUGUAUGAUGAAUAACCACCAAAACUUAUUGUUUUUCUAGAGAGGACAUAGGGAUUGGCUUGAAAUUCAAGGGACUGGCACCACAUUUUCUUAUACCCUUCACCUCUCAUCAUCUCUUUGAAGUCCAACCCUAUCUUUUCCCCAUAUUUAGUCCACCAUAAUGUCACGUCUUCCUCCAACUUUUACCUGGCUUCAAAGUUCUGUUAGUGAUGCAGUAUUGAGUGUCUGUUUGUGAAUAUCUAGAACUGUUCUCUAUCACUUUAAUGGUGGAGGAAUAGGACUUUGGGCCUACUAUUACAGAAGACAGGACACAUCAUAUUCUAAUGACUGAAUUAAGAGGUUCUUUUUAUUUCUUUCCUUUUUUUUUUCUGGUGUAGUUGUGGAGUUUGUUGUAGAGUUGAGGGUCCAUUGUAAUUGAGGGAUUCAUAGAAAAAAGCUGGGUAAGUUUCAUUCUGUUUUCUUGGAGUAUACCACCAUAUAGUUGAAUGAUCACAGCACUUUUUUACCUUCCAAAGUAUCUUAAGAAUUGUCAGUGUCUACAUGAUCCGAUAGGAAAUUCCAACUGCAUUUUGACCAAGACACAAGAUGGAGUUUACUAUAUUUGAAGAUAUAUUCACAGUCAUUCCCAUGGUGAUGGGGGAAAGGAACUGCUGAUAGUAAAAGGCUGUGUCAAGCUGACUGUGAGUUCAACCUACUGGAGCACUGCCACCACUAUGGGGUUUCUGAUUGAACUUUCCUCUCUUUAUUGCUGCUGAAACCUUUCAGCAUGGAUCAGUAUGGAGCUCUGACAUGCUGUUUUGAUUACAUCUCAGCUCAUCCAUUUAAGAAGCCUGAAAAGUUGUUUCAGCAGAUUUCCUGCAGGGUGUCACACUCUGUAUUUGCAGAAAAGUUGUUCAAGUUUCAAGACUGGGGAAUACUGAUAGCAUCAGACAUGGAAGUUCUUUGAAGAAUCUCUAAGGAUCACUAGUCGUUUUGGAAUUAGAAAUCCUUUGAAACUCUAUCCAGAAAAGUGCACAUGGAAUUUUAUAGACAUGAAGGAUUCACCCCAGAUGAAGAAUCCCUGAAAGAAAAAUAAACCCUUUCCUGUGUCUCACAUUCUCACUUCCUAGAGACCGCCAGAACACACCGGUUGUUACCCUGAAAAACAGUAACUGAAUUUUGUUUCCAUUAAAAAAUCAUCUCAGAAUGGGAAGGGAGUCCAUGAAGUAUAAAAGCAUAAGAAGAAAAAAAAAGACAUAGAAAAAAGCCAAUGGAUCUUGCUUCAUGAAAUAAAAGAUUGUUCGUCAAAGAACAUCAUAAACAAGAUUGAGAAGAAAACAAGAAAUCUGGGGGAAAUGAUUACAGCAUUAAUAUAAACAUGAAUUUUUUAAAUCAAUGAGAAAAACAGUAAAAAAAAUGUGAAAAAUGGUCAAAAAUAAGUGAAAAUACCAUCUUUUUCUUACAGCAAUUAUGGAGUAAUUGCUAUGUGUCAUAAACAGAAGAUUUUGGGGGCAAACACCCCAUCUUCAAGAACUUCAUUAACAGUAAAUGAAACAUAAAUAACCAAUUAACAAAUGAAAAAUGCCUAGUUUCUCUAUCAAAGAAAUGCACAAAACCAAAAUAGUUAAAACAUUUUGAAAGAUUGUUAACAGAGAUAAAAUACUGAAUAUUAUUGAGGAGAUGAACAUUUGCUUUUAUCUACUUCAGGUAGAUGUUUAUGUAGAAAGUUUUUCUGGAAUUAUAUAGGCAAGAUGUAUUAAGAACUUUAAAAAGUGGAUGCUUGCUAAGGUUUGGAUAUGAGGUGGCCCCCAGAAGCUGUUCAUGCAGAAAAUGAUUAGAUUAUGAGAGUGUUACCUGAUCAGUCCUUCCUAGUUUGAAUGGACUGAAUGGGUGGUAACUCCAGGCAAGUGGGGUGAACCUGGAGGAGGUGGGUUAAUGUGGAUGAGCCCUGGAAACAUGCAUCUUCCCUGCUCACCCUCCCCUCUUUCUCCUUUUCCUGAUCCUGUCAUGAGCUAAGUAGCUUUCCUCUUUGGGGCCCCUACCCUAUAAUGUGCUGCUCACCUUGGACCCAGAACAAUGGAGUUGGCCAUUUAUGGACAAAGACCUCUGAACCUGUGAGCUGCAAAUAAGCUUUCCCUCCUCUAAGUUGUUGUCAUAUAUUUUCGUCACAGAGAUGCAAAAGCUUAUGAAAACGAUACUCCUUGAAUUAUUUAUUCCUCUUCUAA